UACGUAGGGGGCAAGCGUUGUCCGGAAUUAUUGGGCGUAAAGAGCGUGUAGGCGGUCCGGUAAGUCAGCUGUGAAAGUCAAGGGCUCAACCCUUGAAUGCCGGUUGAUACUGUCGGGCUAGAGUCCGGAAGAGGCGAGUGGAAUUCCCGGUGUAGCGGUGAAAUGCGCAGAUAUCGGGAAGAACACCCGUGGCGAAAGCGGCUCUCUGGAACGGUACUGACGCUGAGACGCGAAAGCGUGGGGAGCGAACAGG
rnacentral:rRNA from 1 species